rnacentral:rRNA from 1 species
UAGGGAAUCUUCCGCAAUGGGCGAAAGCUUGACGGAGCAACGCCGCGUGAGUGAUGAAGGUCUUCGGAUCGUAAAACUCUGUUAUUAGGGAAGAACAAAUGUGUAAGUAACUAUGCACGUCUUGACGGUACCUAAUCAGAAAGCCACGGCUAACUACGUGCCAGCAGCCGCGGUAAUACGUAGGUGGCAAGCGUUAUCCGGAAUUAUUGGGCGUAAAGCGCGCGUAGGCGGUUUUUUAAGUCUGAUGUGAAAGCCCACGGCUCAACCGUGGAGGGUCAUUGGAAACUGGAACACUUGAGUGCAGAAGAGGAAAGUGGAAUUCCAUGUGUAGCGGUGAAAUGCGCAGAGAUAUGGAGGAACACCAGUGGCGAAGGCGACUUUCUGGUCUGUAACUGACGCUGAUGUGCGAAAGCGUGGGGAUCAAACAGG